rnacentral:rRNA from 1 species
UACGUAGGGCGCAAGCGUUGUCCGGAAUUAUUGGGCGUAAAGAGCUCGUAGGCGGUUUGUCGCGUCUGCUGUGAAAACUCGAGGCUCAACCUCGGGCUUGCAGUGGGUACGGGCAGACUAGAGUGCGGUAGGGGUGACUGGAAUUCCUGGUGUAGCGGUGGAAUGCGCAGAUAUCAGGAGGAACACCGAUGGCGAAGGCAGGUCACUGGGCAGCAACUGACGCUGAGGAGCGAAAGCAUGGGGAGCGAACAGG